rnacentral:ncRNA from 2 species
CUCUUAUCCAGAGAGGUGGAGGGACAGGGCCCUAUGAAACCCGGCAACCAGUUUUUUAACAAUGGUGCCAAUUCCUGCAGUAAAGUCUGCAAGAUAAGAG